UACGUAGGGGGCGAGCGUUGUCCGGAUUUAUUGGGCGUAAAGCGCGUGUAGGCGGCCAGAAAAGUCCGCUGUGAAAACUCGAGGCUCAACUUCGAGCUGUCGGUGGAAACUUUCUGGCUAGAGUCCGGAAGAGGAGAAUGGAAUUCCUGGUGUAGCGGUGAAAUGCGCAGAUAUCAGGAAGAACACCCGUGGCGAAGGCGGUUCUCUGGGACGGUACUGACGCUGAGACGCGAAAGCGUGGGGAGCGAACAGGAUUAGAACCUACCGUAGUCAG
rnacentral:rRNA from 1 species